rnacentral:lncRNA from 1 species
GUAUAGUAGGCAUUGUAGGAAAAUUGCAAGAGUGUUGGUGUUGCAUGAUGGUCUGUUUUUUAAAUCUCUUCAUUUAAGCUUUUCUCUCACAAAAGUUAUUUAACUCUAUUCAUCACUGAUAAAGUAAAAACAGUAGAACAACAAGUGGUUUUCAAAAAUCCCUGCACAAGCACUUAAUUUUGUCACAUUUUUCUCCUAAAUUUUGUCUUGGCAAUUACCCUUUUUAUUCUGUUGAGAUUAAACACAGCAGCUCCUUAUUAAUUUUGGAAAAGCUGUGAGACAAGGUGUCAGGGAAGAUCCAAAUUCCUUAAUUUAGCCAUACAGGCAAAGGAUGAAGUAAAACAACAUGUUAAGUAAUAUUUACAGUAGGUGAUGUAUCUCUGUAAUUACCUUGAGAUGACUGCUCUCUUUCAUCAUAUUAAAUGCCUUUAUUAUAUUUAGAUGCAAAGUCACCUCAUCCUGACAGAGAGGAAUAUGAAAGAUGAAAACGCUUUAACUACUGCUUGUAGUACUAGAGGAAGCAAAGGAAGAAUGGAGUCGACAAAGUAAUCAGUAUAAUCUACAUAGUACUCAUGAAACAUUACAAAUCAGAAUUUUUCCAGAGAUACAAGAGUGCCACAUCUGCAUUACAGAUUUUACUCCUGUAGUAGAGUCAUGCC